rnacentral:rRNA from 1 species
UGUAAUGUUGGGUCAGUCCGCAACGAGCGCACCUUAUCCUUGUUUGCCAGCACUUCGGGUGGGAACUCCAGGAGACUGCCGGUGAUAAACCGGAGGAAGGUGGGGACGACGUCAAGUCAUCAUGGCCCUUACGAGUAGGGCUACACACGUGCUACAAUGGCAUAUACAGAGGGCUGCCAACUCGCGAGAGUGAGCGAAUCCCAUAAAGUAUGUCGUAGUCCGGAUUGGAGUCUGCAACUCGACUCCAUGAAGUCGGAAUCGCUAGUAAUCGUGGAUCAGAAUGCCACGGUGAAUACGUUCCCGGGCCUUGUACACACCGCCCGUCACACCAUGGGAGUGGGCUGCACCAGAAGUAGAUAGCUUAACCUUCGGGAGGGCGUUUACCACGGUGUGGUUCGUGACUGGGGUGAAGUCGUAACAAGGUAGCCCUAGGGGAACCUGGGGCUGGAUCACCUCCUU